rnacentral:lncRNA from 1 species
CCUCACACUCACAUGCAUGCACACUCAUGUCACAGGGAGUCACACCCUCACACUCACAUCCUCCCAGGCACACUCACAAUCAAGCCUUCACACGCACAACAGUCACACCCUCACAUGCAGUCACACCCACAUGCACACUCAUGCACAAUCACAUCCUCCCAGGCAGUCACUCGCACAUGCAGUCACACAUUCACUCACAGGCAGUCACACUCUCAUGCACUCAGUCACACCCUCACAUGCACACUCAUUGACACCUUCACAUGCAGUCACACCUGCACUGUCACACCCACACAUGCACACU